rnacentral:misc_RNA from 1 species
GUAAAUAAUUAACUUUUGUUUUCAGACGUUUGAUGCUCAUGCAAAAAGGGUUUAUGGGGUUCCCGGCGGCAGGAAACCUGCCGAGGGAACAACAAAAGGUGCACAUAAUCAAGGUAAGGGUCAAGGGCUAAGCACCCCCGGGAGCGCCGCCGCAAGCGACGAGCUCCCACGAGCGGCCCAGGGCCAGGUAAUGAUCCUUCCGCAGGUUCACCUACGGAAA